rnacentral:rRNA from 1 species
AACGAACGCUGGCGGCGUGGAUAAGACAUGCAAGUCGAACGGGACAACAUUUGUAGCAAUACCGAUGUUGUUUAGUGGCGAACGGGUGCGUAACAUGUGGGCAAUCUGCCGAGAAGUGGGGGAUAGCUCGCCGAAAGGCGAAUUAAUACCGCAUAUGAUCAGAGGAGACAUUUCUUCGACAUCAAAGCCGGGGCAACCUGGCGCUUUUUGAGGAGCCCGCGGCCUANCAGCUAGUUGGUGAGGUAACGGCUCACCAAGGCUUUGACGGGUAGCUGGUCUGAGAGGACGACCAGUCACACUGGAACUGAGACACGGUCCAGACACCUACGGGUGGCAGCAGUCGAGAAUUUUUCUUCAAUGGGGCAACCCUGAAGGAGCGACGCCGCGUGGAGGAUGAAGGCUUUCGGUUGUAAACUCCUNUCAUUGAGAACAAGUGUGGCAAGUAACUACUGCCUACUUGAUAGUAUCAGAAGAGGAAGAGACGGCUAACU